GGGUUGUGAGGUUAAGCGACUAAGCGUACACGGUGGAUGCCCUGGCAGUCAGAGGCGAUGAAGGACGUGCUAAUCUGCGAUAAGCGCCGGUAAGGUGAUAUGAACCGUUAUAACCGGCGAUUUCCGAAUGGGGAAACCCAGUGUGACUCGUCACACUAUCAUUAACUGAAUCCAUAGGUUAAUGAGGCGAACCGGGGGAACUGAAACAUCUAAGUACCCCGAGGAAAAGAAAUCAACCGAGAUUCCCCCAGUAGCGGCGAGCGAACGGGGAGGAGCCCAGAGCCUGAAUCAGCAUGUGUGUUAGUGGAAGCGUCUGGAAAGGCGCGCGAUACAGGGUGACAGCCCCGUACACAAAAGCGCAUGUGCUGUGAGCUCGAUGAGUAGGGCGGGACACGUGGUAUCCUGUCUGAAUAUGGGGGGACCAUCCUCCAAGGCUAAAUACUCCUGACUGACCGAUAGUGAACCAGUACCGUGAGGGAAAGGCGAAAAGAACCCCGGCGAGGGGAGUGAAAAAGAACCUGAAACCGUGUACGUACAAGCAGUGGGAGCCCCACCACUAAGCCAGUGGUGAACUCCACAUACGCAUCCUUUGCUGAGGAUACGGUUAACGGAGCGAAAGCGACGUUCAACCUCAAAAGAAGCAGAGGGGGCUUAGUGGUGGGGUGACUGCGUACCUUUUGUAUAAUGGGUCAGCGACUUAUAUUCUGUAGCAAGGUUAACCGAAUAGGGGAGCCGCAGGGAAACCGAGUCUUAAUUGGGCGUUAAGUUGCAGGGUAUAGACCCGAAACCCGGUGAUCUAGCCAUGGGCAGGUUGAAGGUUGGGUAACACUAACUGGAGGACCGAACCGACUAAUGUUGAAAAAUUAGCGGAUGACCUGUGGCUGGGGGUGAAAGGCCAAUCAAACCGGGAGAUAGCUGGUUCUCCCCGAAAGCUAUUUAGGUAGCGCCUCGUGAAUUCAUCUCCGGGGGUAGAGCACUGUUUCGGCUAGGGGGCCAUCCCGGCUUACCAACCCGAUGCAAACUGCGAAUACCGGAGAAUGUUAUCACGGGAGACACACGGCGGGUGCUAACGUCCGUCGUGAAGAGGGAAACAACCCAGACCGCCAGCUAAGGUCCCAAAGUCAUGGUUAAGUGGGAAACGAUGUGGGAAGGCCCAGACAGCCAGGAUGUUGGCUUAGAAGCAGCCAUCAUUUAAAGAAAGCGUAAUAGCUCACUGGUCGAGUCGGCCUGCGCGGAAGAUGUAACGGGGCUAAACCAUGCACCGAAGCUGCGGCAGCGACGCUGAUGCGUUGUUGGGUAGGGGAGCGUUCUGUAAGCCUG
rnacentral:rRNA from 1 species